UACGUAGGGUGCGAGCGUUGUCCGGAAUUAUUGGGCGUAAAGAGCUCGUAGGCGGUUUGUCGCGUCUGCUGUGAAAACCCGAGGCUCAACCUCGGGCCUGCAGUGGGUACGGGCAGACUAGAGUGCGGUAGGGGAGAGUGGAACUCCUGGUGUAGCGGUGGAAUGCGCAGAUAUCAGGAAGAACACCGAUGGCGAAGGCAGUUCUCUGGGCCGUAACUGACGCUGAGGAGCGAAAGCGUGGGGAGCGAACAGG
rnacentral:rRNA from 1 species